CUGUGAUUUAGAUUUUGUGAUUGGCUUCUGGUGCAGGUUUUUGUUGCAUCUUUUGCAUUGGUUGGGUUAUAGUUUGAAAAAGGGUGAGCGUAUUUGUCAGUUUUUGAUUAUCUGUGGAGGAAUUUUGGUUUGUGGUUUUGAAUUGAUUUGAUUUGCAGAGGGAGCUAGAUUCGUCAGUUUUGUUCUGCUGGGGAAGAAGCCGAAUUACUAAUUCUGUUCUUUUCUUUUGUCAGUCUUGAUCACAUCUGGGUGCUUUUGAUCUCAUCUCAAUCGCUCCAACUGCAGUUUAUUUGGGUGGUUAUGACAAUUGACAAAGAAGACAAAGCGGCUAGAGCUUAUGACUUAGCAGCAUUGAAAUAUUGGGGCACCAGUCCCACAACCACUACCAACUUCCCGAUGAGUGCAUAUAUGAUAUAUUCUGAUCAGUAGCUAUGAGAACAAGAUUGAUGAAAUGAAGCCCAUGACAAGACAGGAGUAUGUUGCAUCUUUGAGGAGAAAGGAAACCCCUCAUCAUUCUUAUAAUUUGGACAAUCAUAUGCAUCAGUUCAAGGGAAGUAGCGCAAGCAUCAGAACCAAAAAGGUGAAAGCUGAAUGCCAACAGUUCAGGGAAUAUUGUAGGGCAGGAAAUGGAGAAUGGUUAUUGUUUGGAAUAGCACACGAGAGGAUCAGAGGAUGAUUGUUACUGAUAUUCGAUUUAGAACAAAUCUCCUGAACAGAAAAUGAACAAGUAUGAUGGUAGAGUUCCUAUGAGUUCAGAUUCGAUGAGUAAAAUAGAGGCAGAACUUGAAGCUGAACUUGGGAGGUUGGGGCUAAACAGGAAUACUUCUACUUUGGAGAGAAGAUUAACUGAUCUUGAUGAGGUGAUGGUGUGAGUGUGUGACAGAGUAAAAGCAGGAUCUCCUUCAAUAUAUCUGACAGCUGUUAAGGUAAAUGAUCUAUAUCCUUAUUUCCUCCAUAUGUAUAUAUAUCUCAAUUAUCUUGAUCAAUUACAUUGUAUUGUCUCUCUCUGUAGAGUGUCACUGAUCAAAUUUCAAAAAGAGAGAUCGCAAAAGCUCUGUCUAUAUCCAAUAAUUACAUAGAAAUUGAAGAUGGUAUUUUGAUAGAUUUUCCGGGUUUGAGCCUUCAUGCAGCUGUAAUGUUUUGUUGCUUUUUUUUUCCUUCACUCGGUUGAAUCAGACUUCAAACUUAAUUUUUUGUUAUAAUGUUGAAACCAGCUGUAAUGGAUUUUGGUAUGAGGAAGGGUGUAAUGGAUUCAGUACCUGUAUGUUUUGGCUUUGGCUUUUGUGAAUUCUUA